rnacentral:misc_RNA from 1 species
GUCCCUGCCGGCUGGCUCCGUGCCCGUCCACCGAACGGUCGGCAGGCGAUCCGUGUCGGUCGCGCGAGGUGGUAUGGUUCCCCNGACGCCGGUUCUUGUGCUGCCUAUCCCUUCAGGGGAAGCGGGCCACUUGAUGUUAGCCUCCAUCCGGCGCCCUCCAACGGGCGCAGGAGGACAACGGAGCACCCCCCGCGUUCCACCGAGCCUUCGUCGGUCGCGUGGCGCGCGGGGACGUGCGAUGCUCUCGGACCCAACGAACGCCGUGGGCGAAGACUUACGUCCAAGCCCGA